rnacentral:rRNA from 1 species
GAUGAACGCUGGCGGCGUGCUUAACACAUGCAAGUCGAACGAACGAAGAGGAGCUUGCUCCUCUUCGUGAGUGGCGGACGGGUGAGUAACGCGUGGGUAACCUACCCUAUAGAGGGGGAUAACGUUUGGAAACGAACGCUAAUACCGCAUAAACUAUAGAUUGCCGCAUGGCAAUUAUAGCAAAGAUUUAUCACUAUAGGAUGGACCCGCGUUGGAUUAGCUAGUUGGUGAGAUAAUAGCCCACCAAGGCAACGAUCUAUAGCCGGCCUGAGAGGGUGAACGGCCACAUUGGGACUGAGACACGGCCCAAACUCCUACGGGUGGCUG